CCUACUCUCUCUCCUCACGUUCCUCAUUUUUUCACAAAACCUUCCACUUUCAUCUUCUUCCACCGCUACAUCUUCUUCCACCAAUCGAAGCAUAAAUAUGGAUCUGAGGACGAACAAGGGAGUAGAGAAUGAAAGGCUACUCCUAUGGCGGUGUGGGAUUCGUGAGGAACGUGUGGUGGUCGGUCAUUAUUUAUGCGAUUUGAAGGUUUUUUACAGGCUUUAUUUAUAUGUGCACAUUUUAGGGGUUUCAAAAUGUUGGAUUCAAAUUUGGAGAGGUCAGUCCUUCUGAUUAAACUCAGAUCUGAGGUAUUUAUUUAGCAAACUGAUCAAUAUUUACAUUCAGUUCUUACUAAAAUAAUUUCUCUUUGAUUUUUCACUAACUUAGUUUUAUAUGAUUCAUUAUGUAUUGUUUUUUUAUGUGGAGAAAAUAGAUUAGAUCUACAAAAUUAACUUGUGUGUGAGGGUGAAGAAGAAAACAACAACGUAACUUGAAUCUAAUUUUUUUUUACAUGUUUAAAACUAAAUUUGUUAGGUACAUGCUGAAGCAAAUUGGAGUGAAUAUUGCAAAUGUUUAUGGGGGUGCUCCUAUUAGUCAACAUGUUUGUUUUAUGUAUUGUUUUUUGUUUUAUUUUGUUGGUUUAUGAGUUUUUAUAGUGUUGAUUUAGUUCAUUGUUUAUGACUAUAGCCAUCUUCGGGUUUUCGAGAGGGGUGUUGAUAUUCUGGUUGCAACUUUGGAAUGUUUGGUGAAUAUGAUUGAGGGAGGAAAGGUAAUAUGAUGUCUAUUAUUGAUGCAACAUUGAUUUGUUAUAUACAUGAAUGUCCCAUAUUAAUAACUUCUUAUUGAUUUGUCUGCAACAUUUAUGUUAGAGGUAU